rnacentral:rRNA from 1 species
UACGUAGGGGGCAAGCGUUGUCCGGAUUUAUUGGGCGUAAAGCGUGCGCAGACGGUCACGUAAGUCGGGUGUGAAAGCCCCGGGCUCAACCUGGGAAUUGCAUUCGAGACUGCGUGGCUAGGGUGCGGAAGAGGGAAGCGGAAUUUCCGGUGUAGCGGUGAAAUGCGUAGAUAUCGGAAGGAACACCAGUGGCGAAAGCGGCUUCCUGGUCCAGCACCGACGUUCAGGCACGAAAGCGUGGGGAGCAAACAGG